ACACGUGCUACAAUGGGUGGUACAAAGAGAAGCCAACUCGCGAGAGCGCGCCAAUCUCAAAAAGCCAUCCUCAGUUCGGAUUGGAGUCUGCAACUCGACUCCAUGAAGUUGGAAUCGCUAGUAAUCGCGGAUCAGCAUGCCGCGGUCGAAUACGUUCCCGGGCCUU
rnacentral:rRNA from 1 species